UACGGGGGGGGCAAGCGUUGUUCGGAAUUACUGGGCGUAAAGGGCUCGUAGGUGGCCAACUAAGUCAGACGUGAAAUCCCUCGGCUUAACCGGGGAACUGCGUCUGAUACUACUUGACUUGAGUACAGGAGGGGAGAGUGGAAUUCCAGGUGGAGCGGUGAAAUGCGUAGAUAUCUGGAGGAACGCCGGCGGCGAAAGCGACUCUCUGGUCUGUAACUGACGCUGAGGUGCGAAAGCGUGGGUAGCAAACAGG
rnacentral:rRNA from 1 species